GUUCCUUUCUCCAGCGUCACCUAGGCACAGAACCGCUCGGAGGUGGCCUCCUGGUGGCUGGAACGUGUUUCCGCCUGCGGGGCCCAGUGUCCGGACCCCACUGGAUCUGUGGAAAAAAACCAAAGUUGCGAAGCGCUGGAGCCUGUGCAGCAACCGGACAGCAGAAUGAACUCCGCUGCUUUUCUAUGCUGGCUGAGAGAAGAGCGGGAGACUUGCCUCGUAAGGCGCGGCGAAGGGGUGGGAGGGCCCUACCUGCAGCACUCAGACGCUUAGGAUGUGUUUCAAGAAGGCUGCAGAGAGAGGAGGCAAGAGGGGCUUCAGAAGCAGGCCUUUGGAUAAUACAUCUGACUCUAGGUAUGAGGUCGCUGAUAUUUUCCCCAUUUUACAUAAAUGAAGUAAGGAUCAAUAGGUGUUGUGAAGAGACGGAGAGGAAGAAGGAAUACAUUUUUAAGUGGUUAUAAGACUGGGAAAGGGCCACAUUAUAGAUGCCUUUGUGUGACUUUCAUCACUUUUGCAGACAUUGAUUUCAAAAUAUGGCUCUUGU